ACUGAAAACCAAGGAUGAUGAUGUAACAUGUUACAAUACGAGCUGUCAGACUGUGGCUUGCAUGAAAUCCAGUAGUACAUGUGGAUAAAAGCCACUGAUCCGUGGUAACCUCUUGUUAGGUGGGCAACACCUGCCAAGGAAUUGAUUAAUUGCCAUGGUCUAGGUUUCAGGUGGGGUUAAAUGGCAGCAAAGAAGCAGUGUGACUGCUGAGUGGGAAGACUGUGGAGAUAAGAGGUCUGUCAUUAGACCCCUAAUUUGUGGAGAAUGUGGUAAAUUGUAGCAGAAAGGAAGAAGGAAGCAACAGUGUCAGAGUUUUAGUUUGAAGACAGAAGGAUCUUGGAGGUUCUGGGAGAUAGAGGAGGGAUCUGCUGGGGGCUAAACAAUUAUAGUCUUCACCCACCCCUAGCAGGAAAAGCAGAACUUCAAGGGUCAAAUUCUGCUCAAUAGCAUCAUAACACCACCAUCUUCAUUAGCCUUGGAACGCUGUUGCACCAAGUGGGAAUCUGGCCCCACAGGAAACCUGUGGGAGCAGCAGAUGAAACUUGUAGUUUCUGACUGAAGCGGAAAAGUCUAUUGGCUGCUGUCCUACCAAGUGACCAGGAAUAUCUCUGCUGCAGUAUGUCGUGCUGAUAUGGCACAGGCAUUGUUCUUCACGUCCACAAGGACAUAUCCAUCAAGGUAUCCCUUCAGGAUGCUGAAGCAGAACAAUGCAGCCCAGUCUGGAUCAAGCUCAGCAGUUGCAAAGGUGGAUUAAAUAAAUGCAUGCAGAUAAUGCAUGAGGAGCACCAAGAGAUGUAACCACCCUCAGAGGUUUACCAGACUACUGAGAAAGCAUUCAGUAAUUCAUGUGCAUUCAUCAUGUUUGAAAAUCACCAGCUCUUGCAACUGGCUGCAUAUUCAGCAGCUCACUAAUAGCAUAAUGUCAUGGGAUGGAUACAAGAGUGAAACAUAAUGGGAGCUGACAAGCUGGACAGGUCUCAGAAAUCUACACAAAAACUACUGCCCAGAG